GACGAACGCUGGCGGCGUGCUUAACACAUGCAAGUCGAACGAAGUGGCGAACGGGUGAGUAACGCGUAAUUAACCUGCCCUUCAGAGGGGGACAACAGUUGGAAACGACUGCUAAUACCGCAUACUGAAGGAGGGGAUUGCGUCUGAUUAGCUAGUUGGCGGGGUAACGGCCCACCAAGGCGAUGAUCAGUAGGCGGGCUGAGAGGAUGAACGGCCACAUUGGGACUGAGACACGGCCACGACUCAUACGGGAGGCAGCAGUGGGGAAUCGUCCGAAAUGGACGAAAGUCUGACGGAGCAACGCCGCGGUAGUGAUGACGGCCUUCGGGUUGUAAAGCUCUGUUAAUCGGGACGCGGUACCGGAAUAGAAAGCCACGGCUAACUACGUGCCAGCAGCCGCGGUAAUUC
rnacentral:rRNA from 1 species